rnacentral:rRNA from 1 species
GAUGAACGCUGGCGGCGUGCCUAAUACAUGCAAGUCGAGCGAACAGACGAGGAGCUUGCUCCUCUGACGUUAGCGGCGGACGGGUGAGUAACACGUGGAUAACCUACCUAUAAGACUGGGAUAACUUCGGGAAACCGGAGCUACUACCGGAUAAUAUAUUGAACCGCAUGGUUCAAUAGUGAAAGACGGUUUUGCUGUCACUUAUGGCUUGAUCCGCGCCGCAUGAGCUAGUUGGUAAGGUAACGGCUUACCAAGGCUACGAUGCGUAGCCGACCUGAGAGGGUGAUCGGCCACACUGGAACUGAGACACGGUCCAGACUCCUACGGGAGGCAGCAGUAGGGAAUCUUCCGCAAUGGGCGAAAGCCUGACGGAGCAACGCCGCGUGAGUGAUGAAGGUCUUCGGAUCGUAAAACUCUGUUAUUAGGGAAGAACAAAUGUGUAAGUAACUAUGCACGUCUUGACGGUACCUAAUCAGAAAGCCACGGCUAACUACGUG